UGAUAACAGUCCCUACUUCCUAGGCCA
rnacentral:piRNA from 1 species